rnacentral:rRNA from 1 species
UGACAAUGUGUUACCACCUUGUAGCCUGAUUUUGUCAAACCUCAGAAGCUAAGCAAGCUUGGCCCUGAUCAGUACAUGGAUGGGAGAUCUUGAAGGAAAAUCAGAUUGCUGCUAA